rnacentral:pre_miRNA from 1 species
CUGUAUGACCUGAUGGGACACAUACGGAACAUGCUGGAGCUAAAGAAGCUGAUCGUGGUCGUCUCACUGGACAUACAGG